CCUACGGGGGGCAGCAGUGGGGGAUAUUGCACAAUGGGGGGAACCCUGAUGCAGCGACGCCGCGUGGGUGAAGGAGUGCUUCGGCAUAUAAAGCCCUAUCGGCAGGGAAGAAGCAAGACGGUACCUGACUAAGAAGCCCCGGCUAACUACGUGCCAGCAGCCGCGGUAAUACGUAGGGGGGGGGCGUUAUCCGGAUUCACUGGGUGGAAAGGGAGCGUAGACGGCCAUGCAAGCCAGGGGUGAAAGCCCGGGGCCCAACCCCGGGACUGCCCUUGGAACGGUGCGGGCAGAG
rnacentral:rRNA from 1 species